rnacentral:lncRNA from 1 species
AUUAAUCCCCCUUUCAACACCGCACAUGGCAAGACAAGCAAGUAUCAAGUAUGCGGCCAACCAAGUUUAAGUGUUGCAUGGGGCACUGCUUCCAAACUCUUUGCGGCACUUCCUUCUUUGCCAGUUCAAUUUAUAUAUACUGUAUCCUUCUAUGCAUAUCACACAUUACUAAAGACUACAGACACGUCAAGGUGUCAGUAUGUAGAGACCCGCAAACAGUUCUCUGCCACUCGGCAGAGGACGCCCUCGCCCUGCUAUGUUUGCUUUUAAGGCCCAGUCUCCACUAGUAACGCUAUUAGGCGCACAGGUGCGCCUUGCAGCGGCCAUAACGCUGGGUUGUUGCAGGGGUGGUGACGUCGUUGACCGAGCGCAAUAUUCAUCGCCCACCUUCAAUUCGUUCAGGUUCAGGCUCAACAAAAGCAUUUCAAAAGGCUACAGAGCCAUCACGCGUGGCGCAGGUGAGGCGGGGGUACCAUCCGCGCGACUUGGUUGCUAGCUUCCGAGGCUGUCAGCUGAGAGCAUGCGCAUGCUAAGGUGUCUGUAUAAUGGCACCGUACAAGCCUGUCAUCAGUUCAUGCUCAGUUCUCAGUCCUGGUACCCUCCCGCCCUCCCUCAGGACUCCGGCCGCACGAAGGGCCACCCGUGCGGACCACCCCUGGGUGGGCUAGACGUGGCGCACUCACACGUUAACCCCAACAGGCAAGUCUAUGUCCAGAUAAUAUUUCGCAAUUGCUGAAGUAAGCACUGCAUGAGUAGCGUGUCUGCAGCUGAACAUGGGGGGAAAGGUACCUUGCGUCUUACCCUCUGAUAUGCCUGGUUUUGUGGUUUGGUUCCUGACCGAAUCGUCCUGAACACUAUGCAGGCUUACGAAGGGCAGCACGGGUGUGGCUAGCUGUGGACUGGAGCGCUGGCACCGGCAGCAUGCGGAGUCUGCGGUGGCACUGUGCAGCAGGUCGGACGUUGUGGUUGAGGUCGUUGUGUGUUUGGCAAGACUUAGUAUGGGUCCACCUGUGCCGCUUAUGCCUUGGCGGGUGGCGUUUGGUUGUUCCGCGGAAGUGGCUACAUGCACAUCUGUGGCUAGCUACGGACUGGAGUGCCGGCACCGGCAGCAUGCAGAGUCUGCGGUAGCACUGUGCAGCAGGUCGGACGUUGUGGUUGUCGUUGUGUGUUUGGCAAGACUUUAGUAUGGGCACACCUCUGCCGCUUAUGCCUUGGCGGGUGGCAUUUGGUUGUUACCCGGAAGCGGCUACAUACGCAUCUGUAUUCAUGUUACGGUAGGGCACGUUCGGUGAGCGAGGAGGUCGAUGGGUGACAGGGCAUGUGGAGCGGGCAGACUUCCUUUCCAGGGUGUGCGAUGGCGGACUAAAAGCGUAAGGAGAGGCUGGUGGAUGGAGGCGGACUCACGCCUUCAGAGAAACAGGCCGAAUCCUCGUUUACACUGGACGCGCGGCACGUGCCGUUGCAUGAACUGUAACACAAAUGAGCAGUUGAGGG